rnacentral:rRNA from 2 species
UACAGAGGGUGCAAGCGUUGUUCGGAAUUAUUGGGCGUAAAGGGCGCGUAGGCGGUUCGGCAAGUCUUCAGUGAAAUCUCUGGGCUCAACUCAGAGUCUGCUGGGGAAACUGCCGGGCUUGAGUGUGGGAGAGGAGAGUGGAAUUCCUGGUGUAGCGGUGAAAUGCGUAGAUAUCAGGAGGAACACCUGAGGCGAAAGCGGCUCUCUGGACCACAACUGACGCUGAGGCGCGAAAGCUAGGGGAGCAAACAGG